rnacentral:rRNA from 1 species
UCGGGAAUUUUGGGCAAUGGGCGAAAGCCUGACCCAGCAACGCCGCGUGAGGGAUGAAGUAUUUCGGUAUGUAAACCUCGAAAGAAUGGGAAGAAUAAAUGACGGUACCAUUUAUAAGCUCCGGCUAACUACGUGCCAGCAGCCGCGGUAAUACGAAGGAUGCAAGCGUUAUCCGGAAUUAUUGGGUUUAAAGGGUGCGUAGGCGGACUAAUAAGUCAGUGGUGAAAGCCUGCAGCUUAACUGCAGAAUUGCCAUUGAUACUGUUAGUCUUGAGUACAGUUGAGGUAGGCGGAAUGUGUCCUGUAUCGGUGAAAUGCUUAGAUAUGACACAGAACACCGAUUGCGAAGGCAGCUUGCUAAGCUGUAACUGACGCUGAGGCACGAAAGCGUGGGGAGCAAACA